rnacentral:rRNA from 1 species
AGUGAACGCUGGCGGUAGGCCUAACACAUGCAAGUCGAACGGCAGCACAGGAGAGCUUGCUCUCUAGGUGGCGAGUGGCGGACGGGUGAGGAAUACAUCGGAAUCUGCCCAGUCGUGGGGGAUAACGUAGGGAAACUUACGCUAAUACCGCAUACGACCUUCGGGUGAAAGGGGGGGAUCGCAAGACCUCUCGCGAUUGGAUGAGCCGAUGUCGGAUUAGCUAGUUAGCGGGGUAAUGGCCCACCAAGGCGACGAUCCGUAGCUGGUCUGAGAGGAUGAUCAGCCACACUGGAACUGAGACACGGUCCAGACUCCUACGGGAGGCAGCAGUGGGGAAUAUUGGACAAUGGGCGCAAGCCUGAUCCAGCCAUACCGCGUGGGUGAAGAAGGCCUUCGGGUUGUAAAGCCCUUUUGUUGGGAAAGAAAUCUUUCAGGCUAAUACCCUGGGAGGAUGACGGUACCCAAAGAAUAAGCACCGGCUAACUUCGUG